rnacentral:rRNA from 1 species
GACGAACGCUGGCGGCGUGCUUAACACAUGCAAGUCGAACGGAAAGGCCCUGCUCUUGUGGGGUGCUCGAGUGGCGAACGGGUGAGUAACACGUGAGUAACCUGCCCUUGACUUUGGGAUAACUUCAGGAAACUGGGGCUAAUACCGGAUAGGAGCUCCUGCUGCAUGGUGGGGGUUGGAAAGUUUCGGCGGUUGGGGAUGGACUCGCGGCUUAUCAGCUUGUUGGUGGGGUAGUGGCUUACCAAGGCUUUGACGGGUAGCCGGCCUGAGAGGGUGACCGGCCACAUUGGGACUGAGAGACGGCCCAGACUCCUACGGGAGGCAACAGUGGGGAAUAUUGCACAAUGGGCGGAAGCCUGAUGCAGCAACGCCGCGUGCGGGAUGACGGCCUUCGGGUUGUAAACCGCUUUCGCCUGUGACGAAGCGUGAGUGACGGUAAUGGGUAAAGAAGCACCGGCUAACUACGUG